CCUACGGGUGACAGCAGUGGGGAAUAUUGGGCAAUGGGCGCAAGCCUGACGCAGCAACGCCGCGUGAAGGUAGAAGGCUUUCGGGUGGUAAACUUCUUUUAAGAGGGAAGAGCAGAAGACGGUACCUCUUGAAUAAGCCACGUCUAACUACGUCCCAGCAGCCGCGGUAAUACGUAGGUGGCAAGCGUUGUCCGGAUUUACUGGGUGUAAAGGGCGUGUAGCCGGGCUGACAAGUCAGAUGUGAAAUGCCGGGGCUCAACCCCGGACCUGCAUUUGAAACUGUUGGUCUUGAGUGUCGGAGAGGCAGGCGGAAUUCCUGGUGUAGCGGUGAAAUGCGUAGAUAUUAGGAGGAACACCAGUGGCGAAGGCGGCCUGCUGGACGACAACUGACGGUGAGGCGCGAAAGCGUGGGGAGCAAACAGGAUUAGAUACCCGGGUAGUC
rnacentral:rRNA from 1 species